rnacentral:rRNA from 1 species
AGUGAACGCUGGCGGUAGGCCUAACACAUGCAAGUCGAACGGCAGCACAGGAGAGCUUGCCCUCUGGGUGGCGAGUGGCGGACGGGUGAGGAAUACAUCGGAAUCUGCCCAGUCGUGGGGGAUAACGUAGGGAAACUUACGCUAAUACCGCAUACGACCUUCGGGUGAAAGAGGGGGAUCGCAAGACCUCUCGCGAUUGGAUGAGCCGAUGUCGGAUUAGCUAGUUGGCGGGGUAAUGGCCCACCAAGGCGACGAUCCGUAGCUGGUCUGAGAGGAUGAUCAGCCACACUGGAACUGAGACACGGUCCAGACUCCUACGGGAGGCAGCAGUGGGGAAUAUUGGACAAUGGGCGCAAGCCUGAUCCAGCCAUACCGCGUGGGUGAAGAGGGCCUUCGGGUUGUAAAGCCCUUUUGUUGGGAAAGAAAUCUUUCAGGCUAAUACCCUGGGAGGAUGACGGUACCCAAAGAAUAAGCACCGGCUAACUUCGUG